rnacentral:rRNA from 1 species
UACGGGGGGGGCAAGCGUUGUUCGGAAUUACUGGGCGUAAAGGGCCAGUAGGCGGCCAACUAAGUCCGACGUGAAAUCCCCAGGCUUAACCUGGGAACUGCAUCCGAUACUGGAUGGCUUGAAUCCGGGAGAGGGAUGCAGAAUUCCAGGUGUAGCGGUGAAAUGCGUAGAUAUCUGGAGGAAUACCGGUGGCGAAGGCGGCAUCCUGGACCGGCAUUGACGCUGAGUGAGCGAAAGCCAGGGGAGCAAACAGG